GACGAACGCUGGCGGCGUGCCUAAUACAUGCAAGUAGAACGCUGAAGAGAGGAGCUUGCUCUUCUUGGAUGAGUUGCGAACGGGUGAGUAACGCGUAGGUAACCUGCCUUGUAGCGGGGGAUAACUAUUGGAAACGAUAGCUAAUACCGCAUAACAAUGGAUGACACAUGUCAUUUAUUUGAAAGGGGCAAUUGCUCCACUACAAGAUGGACCUGCGUUGUAUUAGCUAGUAGGUGAGGUAAUGGCUCACCUAGGCGACGAUACAUAGCCGACCUGAGAGGGUGAUCGGCCACACUGGGACUGAGACACGGCCCAGACUCCUACGGGAGGCAGCAGUAGGGAAUCUUCGGCAAUGGGGGCAACCCUGACCGAGCAACGCCGCGUGAGUGAAGAAGGUUUUCGGAUCGUAAAGCUCUGUUGUAAGUCAAGAACGGGUGUGAGAGUGGAAAGUUCACACUGUGACGGUAGCUUAUCAGAAAGGGACGGCUAACUACGUGCCAGCAGCCGCGGUAAUACGUAGGUCCCGAGCGUUGUCCGGAUUUAUUGGGCGUAAAGCGAGCGCAGGCGGUUUGAUAAGUCUGAAGUUAAAGGCUGUGGCUCAACCAUAGUUCGCUUUGGAAACUGUCAAACUUGAGUGCAGAAGGGGAGAGUGGAAUUCCAUGUGUAGCGGUGAAAUGCGUAGAUAUAUGGAGGAACACCGGUGGCGAAAGCGGCUCUCUGGUCUGUAACUGACGCUGAGGCUCGAAAGCGUGGGGAGCGAACAGG
rnacentral:rRNA from 1 species